rnacentral:rRNA from 1 species
UUGACCUCGGAUCAGGUAGGAAUACCCGCUGAACUUAAGCAUAUCAAUAAGCGGAGGAAAAGAAACCAACAGGGAUUGCCCUAGUAACGGCGAGUGAAGCGGCAACAGCUCAAAUUUGAAAUCUGGCUUUCGGGCCCGAGUUGUAAUUUGUAGAGGAUGAUUUUGAUGCGGUGCCUUCCGAGUUCCCUGGAACGGGACGCCAUAGAGGGUGAGAGCCCCGUCUGGUUGGAUGCCAAAUCUCUGUAAAUCUCCUUCGACGAGUCGAGUAGUUUGGGAAUGCUGCUCUAAAUGGGAGGUAUAUGUCUUCUAAAGCUAAAUACCGGCCAGAGACCGAUAGCGCACAAGUAGAGUGAUCGAAAGAUGAAAAGCACUUUGAAAAGAGAGUUAAAAAGUACGUGAAAUUGUUGAAAGGGAAGCGUUUAUGACCAGACUUGGGCUUGGUUAAUCAUCUGGGGUUCUCUCCAGUGCACUUUUCCAGUCCAGGCCAGCAUCAGUUUUCGCCGGGGGAUAAAGGCUUCGGGAAUGUGGCUCCCCUCGGGGAGUGUUAUAGCCCGUUGUGUAAUACCCUGGUGGGGACUGAG